CUGCCCUCGUGAUGUACUAACUGAUCUAAAAACAUAUACUGAAUUUAACCUAGUACAUUUUUAAUAUUUUCAUUGUGUGAUUGUGAAAAGUCAUACCGUGGAUGUAUAUCCAUAUUUCAGGAGAAUAAAUCGGACCAUCCCUAAUCGAACAUCAAUAUACAUAUUAUAGUAUAUAGCAGCAGAUAAUUCGACCAGAUGGAAUUUUAAUACGACUCUGUCCUUCUGUGGUACACACGUGAAUUCUUUGUCAAGGAAACGGAUUUUACGUCAACCUUAACCCGGAUUCGGUAAUCGUUAGGCAUUUGUCAUUUGCUCUCAGCUAGAAAACUGAAAUGAGGUGGAUCGUAAAAGAAGAAUCUCUUGGGAGAUCAACUGUGUUCCAGUCUAUAAGACAGAAAACCGAAAAUCAAAUGGUUUUCAGAGACAAGACAGAAAACCAUCAAAGGGUCACAGGAUAGAAUCCAGGAAGCAAAAUUGGUAAAAGUCCUAUAAAAAACGUCUCUUUACAGAUACAUAAAAUCCAACUCAGAGUUCCACAGCACUCCCCUUUUUACUCCUUACAGGUUUCUGUAGGGUUAUUAAAGGUAAAAUGAUACAACAUUUUAGUCGACAAACCGGAAGGCAAGAUACUACUUAGAAUAUGUAAUUAGUCGUAGGUGUUGAUUGGAGCAUGAUAUUAUAUUUCAUUUUAAAGGAAA